rnacentral:ribozyme from 14 species
AUCUUUAUUCUUCUUGUUUUUCUUUUUCUUAUUUUUCUUCUUCUUCUUCUUCUUUUUGAUUUGU